rnacentral:misc_RNA from 1 species
UUUUGAUCAAUCAUUUAACAAUGACUCAACAACAACAAAGAAAUUCUUGGAGACUCCAAGAGGAACUAAAAAGCAUUAAACAAAUUGUAUUACAGCUACCAUUGUUUUCUUCUACAGCAAAAUUGUAUCAAGAUAACUUACAUGGGAUAUGUAAAAAAAAGAAACAAAACUCAUCUAAACUUCCUCUUCUUCAGCUUCUUGAACUGCUAAGCAUUCUGACAUCUCUCCUCGGCUCUCUUAAUCACAAAAAGUGUGUAUACUUGCAACAACAUUUCUACAAACACAAGCAAUGCUAUUAUGCCAAAGUAUAUUAAUAAUACCGAGAAUUAUUAUGUAGUACAUAUCCCACAGUAUAGUGAAAAAAUUAAAGUAGCAUCUAUGCUUGCUACUUCUGUCUGGUCUGCAACAUGCAACAACCACCUGUAGUGUUAAUGCCAAUAUAUUGGUGGGGGCACACCAUUUAAUUCCAGCAGAUUUAAUGCCAAGAGCAAGCCUAGUACCCCAGCCAGUAACAUAGAUGAUAUAUACUAAAAUUUGACAACCAACAAAGCAAAUAGAACCAUAGAGGAUCUGCAGAUUGAAACCUUUUUAAGAACCUCGCUAUAAGAGCCCCACUGUGAAUUAAAAUUACCCCGCUGAUCAUGUUUAGUCUCCAUGAGCGUCAGUGGAGUUGUAGUUGUAGAUCUUCUGCCCCCUCCCGUUGAAAAAAAAUCCAAAGAUUAAGACUUGAAAUUGUGAUGCUGAGUGUUUCCAAAAAGUGGACCUUCUUCUUCUCGCCAGAGAGGAUUGCUAUAGUACCUUGCUCUUGAGGUGCACCUUUAAUAAUUAUGAGCCCUUGGAUCAAGGGAGAGGCUUCUUGGUAUCUUGCAAUGAAACCUUCCGGCUGUUCAGUCAAUAUAUGAACCUUCAAUGAAGUCAUCACCAAGCAUGCAUGGAACAAGCUCACUCAAGCAUGGCAAAUAUACUUGAUCUGCAUAUUGCGAGUUUGCAACCCAAUGUCAGCCAUAUCAUUUCUCAAGUUCUCAAAGGUCAUGCAUUAAAGGAAACUAUUGAUGAUUUUGAGAGAGGGAAUCUCUAUCUAGUAACUGGCAUACAAGAAGGCUUUCAAUGAUCCUCUCUUGAUCAUCAAAAGAAAUAGAAAGUUCCAUCUCCUCAGCUCCUAGCCAGCAUAAAAAGCAUAAAUUAAUUGCCUUCUAUUCAUUGUAAAAGGAUAAUAGUGCAUGUGUGCUUUCUGGAUUGAAUGCUAUGUCCUGCAUUAGGGGUAGCAGUCUAUCAUCAAGGAAACUAUAAAUUUCCUCAACUUGAGGAUGAGAUCUCUCCCCUACAAAAAAUACAUGGCUCUUGCCUUUUACUUCGAUUCGACUAAAACCAGGUUCUUUCUUCACAUUUCUUUCCUUCAUCUUCUUCCUUACUUGUGCAAACUCAUUCCACUUCCCACAUGCUGCAUACACAUUGGCCAAGAGUGUAUAACUCCCUGAGCUAGUUGGCUCUUGAUCUAUUAGCUUGUUGCCAAUCUGGUUUGCCAAUCUAACGUCCCUGUGCAAUCUGCAUGCCCCCAAUAAUGCCCCAAGAACAGCACCAUCACGUUCAUGUUGAGGCAUUUCAGAGACCACUUUCAUUGCCUUGUUCACUUCUCCUGCACGACCCAGGAUGUCUACAAGGCAGGUAUAAUGUUCAGCCCUCGGUUCUAUAGCAUAAGCACAACCCAUUGAAUCAAAGAGCUUUUGACCUUUUUUGACAAGACCUGCAUGGCUACAAGCUGAUAAGAGUCCAACAAAUGUAAUCUCAUCAGGCUUAGCUCCAGAUCUUAACAUUCGUGCAAAGACCUGUAAGGCGUGAUGACCACAACCAUGGUUUGAAUAAGCUAAUAUCAUUGCAGUCCAUGACACAAUGUCCUUUGCCUCAAGCUGAUCAAAAACAAACCUAGCUGAGAGGACAUCACCACGUCUAGAAUACAUAGUGACGAGAGCAUUGGAAAGCAAUGUGUCAUGCUCAAAGCCAAGAUGAAUCACUAGGCCAUGAGCUUGCAUAAGCUCCACUAUGCUAUUACAUUGUGUCAAUACACUUGUGAUAGUAGUCUCAUUUGGCUUAACAUUGGACUGAAGCAUGAGAAUUAGGUACUUUAAGGCAACACCUCCAGGCCCAUUUCUUGCAUACCCAUCAAUCAUCACAUUCCAACUCACAAUAUUCUUUUCUGGCAUAAAAUUAAAAAGUUCACUAGCUUCAACCAUGUUGCCUUGAUCAAUAUAUGCUGUGAUCAUAGCAUUCCAUGAAGCUGUGUCCUUUUGAGGCAUCUGAUCAAAAUACUCCUUUGCGUGUUUAGUCAUUCCAUUUCGAGCCAGACCUGUGACCAUUGUUGUCCAAGAAACAGUAUUCCUAUGAGGCAUUGAAUUAAAUAGUUGAAUGGCUUCAUUUAGCCUAUUAGAAUUUAUGCAACCCAAAAUCAAAAUAUUCCAAGAAUAUAGAUUCCGCAGGGGCAUCUGAUAGAAAAGCUUAAAAGCCUCAUCAAUUCGAUCGUUCUCAACAUAACACUUGACCAUAACAGUCCAAGCAACGAUGUUUUUCUCUGGCAUUUGAUCAAAAAUAUGACGAGCUUGAUCAAUGAAACCAUUUUGAGCAUAACCCGCAACCACAGUAGUCCACGAGACCACGUUCUUGUCAGGCAUUUGAUAGAAGAGCCGAAGAGCCUCAUCAACUUUCCCAAUCCUGAAAUACCCAGAAACCAAAUUGGUCCAAGAGAACACAUUUCUCUCCACCAUAUGAUCAAAAACAUCACGAGCCUUAUCAAGUUGGCCAGCCUUGACAUAACCACUUAUCAUUGCAGAAUCAGCAACAAUAUUUCUUUCUGGCAUGGCCCAAAAAAGCCUCUCAGCUUUGGGAAGAUCAUUGUUUUUCAAAUAAACAGUAAUCAUUGAAGCAUAAGAAACGGUGUCACGGUGAGGCAUUUCAUCGAACAACUUCCUCGCUUCAUUGACAUUGCCAUGACGGCCUAAAAUACUUAUCCUUGUGUUACACUCAUAUGUAUAGGAAACAAUUGGCAUCAGCCUCGAACUUCCAUUGACGGAAAUGGGAAUCCGAUUCACGAAGCUUGUUGGGUUCUGUUUCGCGAGAGAAGAGAAGGAAGGAUUUAACUGGCGAAGACAUGAAAAUGUGAAGGGAAGCUUCAAAACUCGAUGCCAAAAACGAGAGCGGGACACCAUAAUCAUCCCAAUGAUAAUUAAGAACCAAAUCCAUAUGACUCAAUCAUCAAUUUCAAUAAUAAAGUUCAUCAUUGUGGUGAUCGGAGGCGCGUUGUUAGUGGUGCGGUCUACAAUGGCGGUCUGG